GAUGAACGCUAGCGGGAGGCCUAACACAUGCAAGCCGAGCGGUAUUGUUUCUUCGGAAAUGCGAGAGCGGCGUACGGGUGCGCAACACGUGUGCAACCUGCCUUUAUCUGGGGGAUAGCCUUUCGAAAGGAAGAUUAAUACUCCAUAAUAUAUUGAACGGCAUCGUUUAAUAUUGAAAGCUCCGGCGGAUAGAGAUGGGCACGCGCAAGAUUAGCUAGUUGGUGAGGUAACGGCUCACCAAGGCGAUGAUCUUUAGGGGGCCUGAGAGGGUGAUCCCCCACACUGGUACUGAGACACGGACCAGACUCCUACGGGAGGCAGCAGUGAGGAAUAUUGGUCAAUGGGUGCAAGCCUGAACCCGCCAUCCCGCGUGAAGGACGACUGCCCUAUGGGUUGUAAACUUCUUUUGUAUAGGGAUAAACCUACCCUCGAGAGGGUAGCUGAAGGUACUAUACGAAUAAGCACCGGCUAACUCCGUG
rnacentral:rRNA from 1 species